GAUGAACGCUAGCGGCAGGCCUAAUACAUGCAAGCCGAACGGCAAGUUUGAUAGCAAUAUUGGACCUAGAGUGGCGCAAGGGUGCGUAACACGUAUGCAACCUGCCCGCGACAGGAGGAUAGCUCCCCGAAAGGGGAAUUAACCCUCCAUAACACCAUGAGAAGGCAUCUGAUUAUGGUUAAACCGCAAGGGGUCGCGGAUGGGCAUGCGGUUGAUUAGCUAGUUGGCGGGGUAAAGGCCCACCAAGGCGGGGAUCAAUAGGGGUUCUGAGAGGAAGGUCCCCCACACUGGAACUGAGAUACGGGCCAGACUCCUACGGGAGGCAGCAGUAGGGAAUAGUGGACAAUGGUUGCAAGACUGAUCCAGCCAUGCCGCGUGCAGGAAGAAGGCCUUCUGGGUCGUAAACUGCUUUGUCCUGUGGAUAAAAUACCCGUGCGCGGGGAAUUGAAGGUAACAGGGGAAUAAGCCACGGCUAACUACGUG
rnacentral:rRNA from 1 species